rnacentral:rRNA from 1 species
CCUGCCCACUGAAAAAAUUUUUUUAAAUGGCCGCAGUAAUUUGACUGUGCAAAGGUAGCAUAAUCAUUAGUUUUUUAAUUAAAAGCUUGUAUGAAUGGUUGGACAAAGUAAAUUCUGUCUUUAUUUAAAUAAAAUUAGAAUUUAAUUUUUAAGUUAAAAAGCUUAAAUAUAUAUAAAAGACGAGAAGACCCUAUAGAUCUUUAUAUUAUUAUAUUAUAAUUUUAAUAAAGAAUUUUUAAUUUUUUAUAUUAUAUAAUAUUUUAUUGGGGUAAUAAAAAGAUUAAAUUAAUUCUUUUUGAUAUUUUACAUUAAUUUAUGAAUUUUAAUGAUCCAAUUUUUUUGAUUAUAAGAUUAAGUUACCUUAGGGAUAACAGCGUAAUUUUUUUAGAGAGUUCAUAUCGAUAAAAAAGUUUGCGACCUCGAUGUUGGAUUAAAAAUUGUUUUAGGCGCAGAAGUUUAAAAAUUUGGUCUGUUCGACCAUUAAAUUUUUACAUGAUCUGAGUUCAGACCGGUGUAAGCCAGGUCGGUUUCUAUCUUUAUAAUUUUAUAAUAUUUUAGUACGAAAGGACCAAAUAUUUAAUAUAUUAAUAUUUAUAUUUUGAAUAUUAUUAAUA